rnacentral:ncRNA from 3 species
GACGAACCGUCCGAACGUUAUUCGGAAUUAUUGGGCUUAAAGGGUGCGUAGGCGGCCUUGUAAGUCGGGUGUGAAAUCCCACGGCUCAACCGUGGAACUGCGCCCGAUACUGCAUGGCUUGAGGGAGACAGAGGUAAGCGGAACUGAUGGUGGAGCGGUGAAAUGCGUUGAUAUCAUCAGGAACACCGGUGGCGAAAGCGGCUUACUGGGUCUCUUCUGACGCUGAGGCACGAAAGCUAGGGUAGCGAACGGG